rnacentral:rRNA from 1 species
GAUGAACGCUGGCGGCGUGCCUAAUACAUGCAAGUCGAGCGAACGGACGAGAAGCUUGCUUCUCUGAUGUUAGCGGCGGACGGGUGAGUAACACGUGGAUAACCUACCUAUAAGACUGGGAUAACUUCGGGAAACCGGGGCUAAUACCGGAUAAUAUUUUGAACCGCAUGGUUCAAAAGUGAAGGACGGUCUUGCUGUCACUUAUAGAUGGAUCCGCGCUGCAUUAGCUAGUUGGUAAGGUAACGGCUUACCAAGGCAACGAUGCAUAGCCGACCUGAGAGGGUGAUCGGCCACACUGGAACUGAGACACGGUCCAGACUCCUACGGGAGGCAGCAGUAGGGAAUCUUCCGCAAUGGGCGAAAGCCUGACGGAGCAACGCCGCGUGAGUGAUGAAGGUCUUCGGAUCGUAAAACUCUGUUAUUAGGGAAGAACAUAUGUGUAAGUAACUGUGCACAUCUUGACGGUACCUAAUCAGAAAGCCACGGCUAACUACGUG